rnacentral:rRNA from 1 species
ACUAACGCUGGCAGUGUGCCUUACACAUGCAAGUCGGACGGAGGACUUCGGUCCUUAGUGGCAAACGGGUGAGUAAUGGAUAGGUUAUCUACCGGGAAGAGGGGGAUACCCCUUCGAAAGAAGGAUCAAUACCCCGUACGCUCCUUACGGAGGAAAGGUGGUGCAAGCCACCGCUUCCUGAUGAGCCUAUCUCCUAUCAGCUAGUUGGUAAGGUAAUGGCUUACCAAGGCGAUGACGGGUAGCUGGUCUGAGAGGAUGAUCAGCCACACUGGAACUGAGACACGGUCCAGACUCCUACGGGAGGCAGCAGUGAGGAAUUUUUGGCAAUGAGCGAAAGCUUGACCCAGCGACACUGCGUGGGCGAAGAAGAUCUUUGGAUUGUAAAGCCCUUUUGUUGGGGAGUAAGCGAAUGCGCAGGAAAUGGCGUGUUCGUUGCAAGUACCCGACGAAUAAGCCCCAGCCAACUACGU